CCUGAAUCCCCCGACCCGAAACCGAAAAGCUCAACUGAAUCAAAUCCAAAUCGAUUGAAAUGGUGAAACUUGAAUGAAACCCUAGUCGUCUUCUUCUUCAUCUUUACUCCAGUCUUCAGUCAUCGUCGCCCAUCAUCAGUCAGUGACUUCUGCUGGAGGCUGAGCUUCCUCUUCUCCUUCGAGCUCGAGCAUCGCAAGAUUGCAACAGGUUCGAGCUUCCUCUUCUCCUUCUGUCUCUUCUAGGCUUCUCCUCGUCCAGACGCAGCAGAGCGACGACUGGGGUGCGGAUUCCUCACUGGCAGAGGCAGAGUCCAGACGCUGAUAACUUGGGGGCGGAUUCCUCCCUGAAACACAAACGCAGACGACCCAGGGCGACGAUCCGGGUGCAUAUUCCUCCCUGAAAUGGUAGGGAGCCAGAGUCCAGAUGCAGCGGAGCUUCCUCUUCCUCCUCCUUUGAGGCACAUCUUGAUCUGAAAGUUGGCAAACGAAUUGGAUCGACAGGGAUGGAAGCAAUGGUGAAUUUGGUUUGGUACGUAUCUGAUGAAAUGACCAUGUGAGAAAGAGGUGUUGUCGGUUUCAUGUGCCGGGGAGGACGAGAGUUACUUUUGUGAGAGAUUUGAAAGGGAGUAUUGUUGUCGUGGUCGUGGUCGUGGUCGUGGUCGUGGUGUGAGCUUCGAGCGUCCAAGCUGAAGGAAGAGAGGUCUGUGUCUCUUUGAGUAUCUUAAGGUUUCUCAUACAGCUUUCAUGUCGCUAUCUGCGCUGGUGCCUCAAUGGAGCCGAAGUUUGUGGUGAGUCCCUAUCUUUGUCAAUUGUCAACUGCUGUCUAAGAGGUGGUUGUUUUUCAGGUAAUUGGAAUCAGCAUCAAUGUAGGUGAAGAUCUCAGUUUGUUGUACUGCUUUUAGAAGUUCAUUAUGCGGAGGAAAUGGGGAGGUGGUCCAUCUUUUGGUUUUUUUCCCUAGCUAUAAGCUAUACUCUUAGUUUAUAUUACUAUUUUUUUUGUAUUUUAUAUUAUUUUCUUAAAAUAAUAAAUAUUUAUUUAUUUUAUAAUUAAAUUUGCGGUCC